AAGAUUAAGCCAUGCAUGUCUAAGUAUAAACAUUUGUACUGUGAAACUGCGGACGGCUCAUUAAAUCAGUUAUAGUUUAUUUGAUAGUAACUACUACUUGGAUAACCGUGGUAAUUCUAGAGCUAAUACAUGCACUGAAAUCCCGACUUCUGGAAGGGAUGUAUUUAUUAGAUAAAAAUCAAUGUCUUCGGACUCUUUGAUGAUUCAUAAUAACUUUUCGAAUCGCAU
rnacentral:rRNA from 1 species